rnacentral:rRNA from 1 species
GUGGAGCAUGUGGCUUAAUUUGACUCACGCGGGGAAUCUUACUAGGUCCGGACCGAUUCUAUGAUCGUCGUACUGUGGGGUGCUACGUGAUUACUGGAUGAGUGGUGCAUGGCCGUUCUUAGUUCGUGGUGUUAAUUGUCUACUUAAUUGUUAUCGGUUCUCGUAUCAUGCGAGACCUAAUAACGAACGAGAUCGAGACCCGUGGUUGCGUGUGUUUGAAUUCGGUAUUACUACGGGGAUCGCGUAUUACUCCACGGUACGAUCGAAAGACUCGGCAAUAACAGGUCUGUGAUGCCCUCAGAUGUUCUAGGCUGCACACGUGCUACAGUGUGGUUCUGUUCAUAUGUGUAUGCGUAGACUUGAGAUCCCCCGCACCGAGUCAUAAUUGGUCACACGGUUGGACUCACCGAUUGUCAAUUAUUCGGUAUCUUAA